rnacentral:pre_miRNA from 2 species
UCUUAUGAACGAGCAAAAAAAGUAGUUUCUUGAGAUGGAAUCUAUUUCUGGUGAAGAUGCUGUGAA